ACGAAAUGUGCGUUCGAACAUAUUAUGAAAGUGUUUUAGUACGAAGUUUGAGUUUAACACCGCGAAGAGAAGUUUUCUGUUUGGCAUCAAGUUCCUGCGCCGAAACAAGCGCGCGCGCACACUUAAGUUCCAGCACCCUCCCCCAUGUAUGACGGAGUCACGCUAUUGGAGGAAAUGGGUGAAUAACCGCUGCUGAGUGACGGGCUAUUCUGGGCUGGCGUUGGAGGUAAACAUGGAGAGGAUUUAAACAUCCCGGUGGAGAAAAUGUACAAAUGCUUGAGGAGAACGUCCAAACUCCACACAAAAAAGAGUCAAGAAGUGAAAACUGUGAGAAGGUAAAGCAGAGAGUGGAGAGGUGCUGAAAAGCAGAAAACUGCAACUUCUUCAACAAUGAAGUCCUCAUCGCUCAGAGACAGACUCCUGCAAACACAGCAGAGGAGGAAACUGGAAUGAAUGGAUCGAUGAAAGAAGCUGUGAGUGGAAGGGGAUGUGUGUGUGUGUGUGUGUGGGGGGGGGGUUAGGGCAGCAGAUUCAGAAACUAUUCAAGUCAAUUCAAGACAUUUAGAUUUUAGAUUUUUUAUUUCUAAUGUCUUAAAGCUACUGAGAGUUUUUGAACAUCACAAGUGCAGCUUUUCACUGUUUAGAGGAGUCAGAUGUAUGUCUUCCUUUAUUAAAACACAUUUAGCCAGCACAGACAGAAUCACAUAUAACCAAAAAAAUAAAUACAUUAAAAAAUAGAUUUUUAUUAAUUUUAUUCAACACAAAUCCAAGAAAAUAAACAAAUAUGUUUUUCCAUUGCAGAAAAUCUGAAAAAAAAAA